rnacentral:tRNA from 3 species
GCGCUUGUAGCUCAGUUGGAUAGAGUGCAGCCCUGCGAAGGCUGAGGCCGUGGGUUCGAAUCCCGCCAAGCGCGCCA